GGUUAUGCAAUUUCCCUUCUUGUAAUUACUUUAAAUUCACUUAUAAAUAUUAUUUGUACUAAAAACAGCAAACCCCGUGUGUGUGUGUGUUACCUUUGUCGUUUAUCAAAGGAUGUGAAUGCUGAAAAUGCUCGCUAAUCUGUAAAAGUUAGAUCAUUUAUGUAUCGCAACAGGUGCUCUUCGUGUCCGCCAUCCAAGCAUCUUCUAGACAGUGAUUAACAAUUAGUAACCUCCGAUUGGUCGAACGGCAACAGAAGGCGUGGCUAAGUAGCGGACGAUUAAGAAGCAAAAAAACGUCUAGCCUAGCAAUCUUUUUUACAAUUUAUAGAAUUUAUAGCAUCUGAUGUAUUAAGUAAAUAAUUUAGCAUCAUAUGCAUACUGUUUACCUAUUCUUAUAUCCGUAGGUUAACUGUAAUCCGCU
rnacentral:lncRNA from 1 species